AUUUAAAUAGCUUAUGAAUAGAGCAUAAUAUUGAAGAUAUUAAGGAGAUUACAAAUAUCUUUAAAUA
rnacentral:tRNA from 1 species